rnacentral:lncRNA from 1 species
AAUGGCCAGCGCCUCCAGUACAACCCCCAUAUCAAACGAAGAACGAAGAUGGGUUGUCAUUGGUGUAUGUUUGACCAAAGUGCUCACUCCUGCAUUGAGAAAUGUUCUUGCAACCGAAAUGCCAAAGUGGCAUCAAGUUUUAUGUCAACCACCGACCGAAAUCGACAAACAAGUUUCUGUUGGACACCAGAAAAAGUUACACCCGUCAACUUUGAACCUCAACUAUAAAAGUAUCAACAACAAUGAUGCCCUUAGAUCACCUAGUGCAUUUGAUUAUGCAGUUAAGGAUCCAUUGUCUUUGGCAAAGUUGUUUGUUCAACCAUUCAUGUCCAAGUUCACUGGCUUUGACUUAACAAUGGAUACGUCUGCAGUCUUAUCAGUGAUUUGUGAAGCUGCCCCAUUUGUAGGAGCUGCUGCUCAUGCAAAGACAGUUCGAUCAGAUAUCAGAAACGAGUGGGCACAUUGCAACUUUGCAGAAUGGACGGAACCAAAAUUUUUUGAUGCUUUUCAAAAUAUGGAAACUUUACUGCAGAAUGUGAAUCUUUCACCAAAUGAUGAACAGAAAUUGUGUGAUGAACUCAAUAGCUGGAAAAUUAAAGGUAAUGAAAUUUUAUGUCUAUAGAUAUCCAGGGAGGAUUCCAGAUUUUUGAGUAUUUCAGAGUAUCCAAAUAAAUACUAUUACUAUAGCAUCUACUGUAUCUUUAUAUUUGAUAUCUCUAAUAGCUGGAAAAUUAAAGGUAAUGAAGUUUUAUGUCCAUAGACAUCCAGGGAGGAUUCUAGAUUUUGAAUAUUUCAGAGUAUCCAAAUAAAUACUAUAUAGCAUCUAUCUCGAGUAACCUUGGAUUUAGCAUACCAGAUUUGCUUUGAAAUAAUUUACUGAAACAGAGUAAAAUAUAUUAUCCAUUGUGAGUCUGCCUGAUCAAACGAUGUUCACAUGAAGUAUUCUUAUAUGACAUUGACAGUCACAAUUUCUUUACAUACGCCCAUUGCUCUCUGUGCGCCUGUAAACACCUCCAGAAUACUUUACAUAUUUGUUUAUACAGGGUGUCUAAAAAAAACGCUUUAGAAAUUCAACAGGCUAUUGUGCAUCACAAACUUUACUAAACAAUUCAAUUUUUACAUAGGACGAAAGAGCUGUUAUUUAGCUUUUCUAUGAUAUAUUUCUUACACCGUAACGAUGAAGAAAUGGCCACAUACUCGUCAAGUAAAAAUUGUCGGUCGAAAUCACAUUCUUCCACCGUUGGGAAUUGAAAAUACAUUAAUUAUGCAAAGUUAAUCAAUCCAAAAGCACCGCGAGUCUGCUGCAAGGUACUUGUUUCGUAAAACGUUUUGAUUACGGAUGUUUUCUGUUCAGGGGUUAAUUGAACCAUGUUUAAUGCAAUAAUGGACGUUCUUAUGGUCUCACUAAGAUGAAGAUCAACGAGUUGAGCUUAUUUUAGAUAAUUUAACAUGCAAUUUUAAUUCUCUCUUGGGAAUUGUUUAUGUUUCGUUUUCCAUGCAAUUCCCAACGGUGGAACAAAGUGAUUUCGACCGGCAAUUUCUAUUUGACGAGUAUGUGGCCAUUUCUCAUCGUUACGAUUUGAAAAGCUAAAUAAUCAUUGAAAAGCUAAAUAACUGUUCUUUCGUCCUAUGUAAAAAUUGAAUUGUUUAGCCACGUUUACGAUGCACGCCAGCCUGUUGAAUUUUCAUAGCGUUUUUUUUAUACACCUUGUAUAUAGCACCUGGGGACGGGGCAGUUUCUCAGCGUUUUACGAGCGUUCGGUCCGUUCGGAUUAUUAUAAUUCACUACCACAUUUCGGGAUAACGAGGGUACAUGUCGAGAUUAAAUUAAAAUCUCAUAUUCAGUUAGCUGUAGUUAUUGGGAUACUACAAAUCCUACCUCUCUUGUAUAUUCAUGAUAUUUUCUUAAUUUGUAUCAAUUAUACAAUUCCACGAAAACUUCUGCAUUGCGUGGAACCAAAACUGCUUCUCAAUUUGCGUGACCAUGCAUUUGUUCAUUCCUCAAUUAUUAGAGUCCGCCAUUUAAAAAACAAAGAUCGAAGAUUGGGGUAUAUUAAGAGAAUUGAGAAGCACUUUUUGAAAUUGAAUUUUAUAAACCAAAAGUGUACCUUAAAACAAAAUUCAAAGAAAGAAAUUCAUGCUAAACAUCAUCAUUGUUGACUUGUAAUAAUGACUUUCUUAACAUAACUAUAAGAUCGCAACUUUAUUUCAGGAUUCCAGUUGUGUUUUGGUCAACCUGUCGACAACGAAAUCUUGACUUUACUCAGAAGUGAAGUGGAUGCACUUUUUGAAGUUGUUCAGACAUGGAGUUCAGAGCCGAAUGAACAGGUUUGAAAAUUACUUCAUUUUCCAUUGCAGGUAUAAGCUGAGACAUUUAUUUAGUACAAAAAUAUUUUAAAAAUAUUAGCUUUGCUAAUUUAAAGGAUUAAAAUGGUCUUCACAUCACCUUAAAACAACAAAGCAACACAAAACUUUAUGUUUAGUAAAAAAUAAUAAUCAGACCAAAAUGUACAAAUCGAAAGAAUCUCGUUGGGGUGACGCAAAUUUACCUUUAGAAAAAUCAAGUACAUGCUGACAAAUCUAUUUAGUAUUAUCCCCGAGCCAAAGGCGCGCCAUUCCGGGGUGAGGGUAUUAAUUCCGUUAGGCUAUUUACCCCCGGGGAAAGCAUUAGCGAAGUCUAAAAUUCAUCAAUAAUCGCGAGCGUGGGUUGCCGUGCGUGAGUGGUCAUCCUCACAUAUCUCGACACAUAACGGACUGUCAUGAAUAGCGAACACUGAUUGGUCCAGUUUAAAAUUUGCAUCAUAACGACUCCAUGACGACAGCGAAAUAGCAAACAUUUUUUUAUUUCUAAUCUUGCAAAUAUUAGAAAUAUAUUUCAUAUAAUAUUUCGUGUAAAGUUGAGAUAAAAGCAAUUCAAAUUUAGCAACAAUUGAUCCACGUAAAAUAUUUAUCGUUUUACAGAUGAAAACACUACGUUCGCAUAUCAGCGAGAUACAGUCAAACUUGAAUAGGGAAAUCGGCGAUCUGCGCACCGGUAUGAAAAAAUGCGCGACUCAGAUAGAGCUUCUUACCGAGCGUACCAAUGAACUAUCCAGACCUUACGUUAAAGAAGAGGAGAAAAUUCCCUAUGUUUUCACUGCACCUCCAAGAAAUCGCUGCUUCGCUGGUCGAACAAAAGAAAUCCAGGAACUUAAAAGUGUUUUAAAAGUUGAGGAAACGUUGAACGAAAAGAAAGUUCGCGUUGCAGCAGUAUGUGGUUUGGGUGGAAUUGGGAAAACAAGCUUAGUUUCCGAGUAUGCUCAUCAGAUGAAGGGUUUCUACAAGGGAGGUGUUUAUUGGUUCUCAUCUGAAGAUGAUGCGCAUCUUAGCAAAACAGUGAACGCCGUCGCAGUAAAGAUUGGUGCAUUACUUAAUUCAUUUGAUUUAACUUUGCCAAAUAUCCUGAAAAAAAUUAGCACUAUACAUGACCCAUGUCUGAUAGUCCUCGACUGCUUGGAUCAACUGGAUCUUUCGUCUAAUAUGAUG